rnacentral:rRNA from 1 species
UACGUAGGUGGCAAGCGUUGUCCGGAUUUACUGGGCGUAAAGAGCGCGCAGGCGGUCGUCCAAGUCGCGUGUGAAAGCCCCCGGCUCAACUGGGGAGGGUCACGCGAUACUGAUCGACUCGAAGGCAGGAGAGGGUAGUGGAAUUCCCGGUGUAGUGGUGAAAUGCGUAGAUAUCGGGAGGAACACCAGUGGCGAAGGCGACUACCUGGCCUGUUCUUGACGCUGAGGCGCGAAAGCUAGGGUAGCAAACGGG